rnacentral:rRNA from 2 species
GAUGAACGCCGGCGGUGUGCCUAAUGCAUGCAAGUCGAACGCGUUGGCCCAAUUGAUUGAUGGUGCUUGCACCUGAUAGAUUUUGGUCGCCAACGAGUGGCGGACGGGUGAGUAACACGUAGGUAACCUGCCCAGAAGCGGGGGACAACAUUUGGAAACAGAUGCUAAUACCGCAUAACAACGUUGUUCGCAUGAACAACGCUUAAAAGAUGGCUUCUCGCUAUCACUUCUGGAUGGACCUGCGGUGCAUUAGCUUGUUGGUGGGGUAAUGGCCUACCAAGGCGAUGAUGCAUAGCCGAGUUGAGAGACUGAUCGGCCACAAUGGGACUGAGACACGGCCCAUACUCCUACGGGAGCAGCAGUAGGGAAUCUUCCACAAUGGGCGCAAGCCUGAUGGAGCAACACCGCGUGAGUGAAGAAGGGUUUCGGCUCGUAAAGCUCUGUUGUUAAAGAAGAACACGUAUGAGAGUAACUGUUCAUACGUUGACGGUAUUUAACCAGAAAGUCACGGCU